CGUCGCAUUCAACGCGCCACCACACACUACUCCUCCUCUACUCCACCGCGCGCGCAGUCAAUGCGCCACCGCCACGCCACCCGCGCACUUCUGGCCGCUGCUGCCGCUGCCGCUGCCGUGUCCCCCUCCUCCCUCCACCACCACAGUCCAACCCCGAGACGCCGCGCCGCGCGUGCGACGGCGUGAGCCUGCGGGGACGCGCGGUGGCCGCGCGUGCUACUGCCCUCUCUCUCUACAAGAACCCGACAAGGCCACGGCAAAGCUAAGAAUCUCAACGCCACGCGCCCGCGGCAAAACCCCACCCGGAGUAGCCUUCUCUUCCUCUUCUUCCUCCUCCUCCUCGCCGAGACUUCCAGCGGCGACGGGGAUGGCGAGGGCGAGGAGGCGCGGCGCCGCGGCCGCGUGGGCGGCGGUUCUUGCGGCGGCGCUGCAGGUUCUUGCGGCCUCGGCGGCGGCGGGGGGGAGGUACCGGGCGGUGUUCAAUUUCGGGGACUCGCUGGUGGACGCCGGCAACCUGGUGACGGAGGGCAUCCCGGACUACCUCGCCACCGCGCGCCCGCCCUACGGCCAGACCUACUUCGGCUACCCCACCGGCCGGUGCUCCGACGGCCGCCUCGUCAUCGAUUUCAUCGCGCAAGAGUUCGGGCUGCCGCUGCUGCCCCCUUCCAACGCCAAGAACGCCAGCUUCGCGCAGGGCGCCAACUUCGCCAUCACCGGCGCCACGGCGCUCGACACCAAGUUCUUCGAGAAGAGGGGUCUCGGCAAGACGGUCUGGAACUCCGGCUCCCUCUUCACCCAAAUCCAGUGGCUGCGCGACAUGAAGCCCUCCUUUUGCAGCUCCGCCCAAGAUUGCAAGGAUUUCUUUGCAAAGUCUCUGUUCGUUGUCGGCGAGUUCGGUGGAAAUGACUACAAUGCGCCACUCUUCGCCGGGAAAGACCUCAGGGAGGCCUACAAUCUGAUGCCUCAUGUCGUUCAGGGCAUAUCCGAUGGUAUUGAGCAACUGAUAGCCGAGGGGGCAAAGGACUUGAUUGUGCCUGGAGUGAUGCCAUCUGGGUGCUUUCCAGUGUACCUGGCCAUGUACAAAGAACCCAAGGAGGGGUAUGGUUCAGGUAGCGGUUGCUUGAAGAGGUUCAAUACAUUCUCAUGGGUGCACAAUUCAAUGCUCAAGCUAGCGCUAGAGAAGCUCCGUGCCAAGCACCCUGGGGUGAGGAUCAUUUACGGGGAUUAUUUCACUCCAGUUAUCCAGUUCCUGCUUCAGCCUCAGAAGUUUGGAUUUUACAAACAACUGCCUAGAGCAUGCUGUGGUGCCCCUGGGACAGGACCUUACAAUUUUAAUCUGACAGCCAAAUGUGGUGAGCCUGGUGCAAUUGCAUGUACCGAUCCUAAGACACACUGGAGCUGGGAUGGUAUUCACUUGACAGAGGCCGCAUAUGGACAUAUCGCACGAGGUUGGUUGCACGGGGCAUUCGCAGAUCAACCGAUCGUACAGUCUUCUUGAGGUUCAGAGUGGUUUUGUCCAUUGUACCUCUAGAGUAUCAGAAUAGCACAUGAAAUUGGAUCAGAAAGUUCUUUUGAUAUAGUUGUACGUAUAUCUCCUUUGAUUCAUUGUGAUCAGGUAAAAAAAAGAGAGAAGAGUUGAGAUAGGGGGGGCUCUUAAAGCAGGAUUUGUUCAUUUAUCAGCUUGCAGAGGUCCGAGAUUAGUGGGGAGACAAGAAGCUUCAGCUUGCAGACUAGCGUGGAUCCCACUAUGCUUCUGUAAGGUUUUUAUUCCUGAUGAAGCAAGGAGGCAUACGACAUAUUUGUCCUGUAUAUUAUGCAUGCUGCAUCUUAAGUGGAUUUGUAAAUCAAAAUGGAUUGGUUAGAAAUUCAAGAAUGUGAAGCAUGCAUGUACUAUAUACUAUUAUGGUAGUUGUAUUUAUGUGAAGCAUUUUAUGGGGAAGGCCGGGUAGCUGGCCGCGAUCUUGUGCAGCACAGGCAGAAAAUCAGCUGGUCCUGAAUCCUGAAGUUUCCAUCUGAAAUACAGUGGGGUCCUCAACGGGCGCAGCUAAGGUCCCUAGAGCUAUCCUAUUCUUCAAAAAUAGAAGAGAAAUUAAGUUUCUAUUUUCUCUCUUCAUAUCUCGACAUCUAACCUCAAGGAAAGAGAGCAACAAUAAUAUGAGAAAGAUGAUUGCAAAAUAUUAAUAAAAUAUAUAUGGAGAUGUAAUAUGAAUGUUUUAUUAAAGUGAUAACUCAUAUGAAAAGAAUAUAUUUUAGAUGAUCAUCUAAAUGCCAAUAUGGAGGAAGGAUGCCAAUAUAGAGGAAGGAUGAUUAAAUUUAGAUAAGCUACUAAAAAUACCCUUAUCACCAAAAAAAAUAGAAAAAAACAACACUGAGACGUAGAAUUUUGGUAACUAGUUCAACCUUGGAUUCAACUAACCAAAUUUUAUUUGGUCAAUUCAGUCGCUAGUAUGUCUUAGAACAUUCGCAAUAAUUCA